rnacentral:rRNA from 1 species
GACGAACGCUGGCGGCGUGCUUAACGCAUGCAAGUCGAACGGUGAAGCGCCUUCCUUUUUGGUGGGUGUGGAUGAGUGGCGAACGGGUGAGUAACACGUGAGUAACCUGCCCCCUUCUUCUGGAUAACCGCAUGAAAGUGUGGCUAAUACGGGAUAUUCUGGGUCUGUCGCAUGAUGGGUCUGGGAAAGAUAUUGUUUCGGUGGGGGAUGGGCUCGCGGCCUAUCAGCUUGUUGGUGGGGUGAUGGCCUACCAAGGCGGUGACGGGUAGCCGGCCUGAGAGGGUGACCGGCCACAUUGGGACUGAGAUACGGCCCAGACUCCUACGGGAGGCAGCAGUGGGGAAUAUUGCACAAUGGGCGGAAGCCUGAUGCAGCGACGCCGCGUGCGGGAUGAAGGCCUUCGGGUUGUAAACCGCUUUCGCCUGUGACGAAGCGUGAGUGACGGUAAUGGGUAAAGAAGCACCGGCUAACUACGUG